CCUGCCCUACUUCGGGAUAGCCCGGGAACUGGGUCUAUACCGGAUACGACUGCCGGACGCAUGUCUGGUGGUGGAAAGUUUUUUCGGUUGGGGAUGGGCUCGCGGCCUAUCAGUUUGUUGGUGAGGUAAUGGCUCACCAAGACGACGACGGGUAGCCGGCCUGAGAGGGCGACCGGCCACACUGGGACUGAGACACGGCCCAGACUCCUACGGGAGGCAGCAGUGGGGAAUAUUGCACAAUGGGGGAAACCCUGAUGCAGCGACGCAGCGUGCGGGAUGACGGCCUUCGGGUUGUAAACCGCUUUCAUCAUGGAAGAACCGCAGAUGACUAUACCUGCAGAACAAUACCUUGUAACUACUUUCCAAAAGCGCAGCAAUACGAAAGGUAACGAGCGUUGACCGGGAUGAUUUAGUAGAUGCUUUUCGUAUACGUGGAAUGGUCUCAACUUCACUGAAAACAUCAGCUUUGUUUUCUCUGUCAUUUAGUCUCCUGGUUUCUUUAAGUUCUGGGUUUUGGUGUGAUUAUGGUUGUGAUGCCUUGUUUAUGUGAAGCAGGCAUGAAAAAACACGUGAGAUUUUAUGUAUGCUGCGAUUGUGCUGAUACUGUAUCUCAGACUCCAGUGAUACUGUACUGAGGUAGAAUGGCAGAUCUACGCAGGGCAAGCGAUGCACCAUAGCGACCAGAGCAAGUAAGUCAUAGUAGCGACCAGACGUACGGACCCUAGACUAUGACUGAUGAGAACUACUGACAACAAAAUGAACCAGACACGACAAAGGAACGGUUAGUGCAGCAAUGCCAAAAGACUACGAGUCUGAAUCCUUACUGACGUUAAUGUUAUAUUCUAGAAAGGUUCAUCAUAUAUGCAAGCAUCAGACGCUGCGUCGGAUUACUUCACGACGUGUCAGGUAGUAGUCUGGGAUCGCACUGUGUACAUGAGAGCUUAGAAGCGAAGUCGUGUGAACAUCCGUA
rnacentral:rRNA from 1 species